rnacentral:tRNA from 1 species
GCAGGUGUAGUUCAACGGUAGAACAGUCGGCUUUGAACCGAUACGCUAGAGGUUCGAUUCCUCUCAUCCCUACA